CGCGGCGAGCUGGAGGGCGCUCCCGGCGCCGAGCCUGGAAGCUGGACUAAUUUUAGAGCUCCAGUCUUCCCCCACCGGCCUCUCGGGGCUCCAGGAUAACACCAAAGUGCCUUCCUACAGCGGAUGGAGCGUGGUGCCGGCUUCAGGGAGCUCACACACACCACUUUCCGCCUCGUCCCUACCACAGCUCUGCGCGGAGGUCGAGCACGUGUUAACUCGCCUAGGACAGGUGCUUCUGUGGAAGUGCUGCAACACCUUGGCUCCUGAAACUGGGCACUGUGGAUAGAGUCAGCUAGCAGUUGUUUGGCCACUAGGAUGCUCAAGGAAAGAGCGCUGGCAAGGAGAAAGGGCAUCUUCCACCUUCUGCCUGGGAAGACUGCCAGGUUAAGAAGAAAUCAGCAGGAAAUGGGCACAGUGAUCCCAGAGGAGGAACAGAAGGCUGUCCCCAGGUGUGACAUCUGAAGAUAAGAAAGCCAAAUCUCAGAAAAGUGGAGUGAUGUGCCCCCUAAACCACUGAGAGAGCUGAACCCUACCCCUGAGCUCAUCAAGGUCCAAAGACCAUGUUCCUUCCAGGACACACCGCGUCCUUUCCUUGUAAGAACCACUCAAGGCACAGAAAGGAAACCAUGGAGAAGUGAGGGAAAAUGCCAGUGCCUCAGAGAGGACUCUUCGGGCCACCCUGCCUUAAAUAGUCUCCCAUUCCCCUUACAAUCAGGGUCCCCAGUGACCAAAACGUAGAGAGAGAGUUGAGUGGAGAAUGGCAAAACUGAAUCCCCAAACUGAUGAAUAAUGACCUUGCAAGGAGCAAGUGGGGAAGAAAGAAGCCCAACGCCCUCUUCUUCUGCUCUGCCACCGCCUGCCAUCGGCACAGACCAAAGUGGACAAAGCAUAUGGAAGGCAGAUCUGGAUCGAAGAGAGGUUUCCUCACACCAACUUCACUCUCUGCCUCUUUAUUCUUUUUUAUUCCUCUCGGAGCCUCUGACAUCACGCUCAACGGUAUCUUUCAUUGGUGGAUUAUUUCCGUGGUGGGAAGAAAGCUUUAUGAAACAGGGACUUCACUUUGGAUUCUUUAUUGUUUUCUAGACUACUGCUUGAUGCAGAGUGUGUCCUCAUUAAAUAUUUGUGAAGGAAAGGAAAAAAGAAUGAAAAAAAAGGAAGGUAGAAAAAAAGAAAUAUAAAGAAAGAAAAUAAGAAAAUUUCCAUUUAUGUAGACUCCCAGAAAGAUCUGUUGUUUGCUUCCUGGUGGUGUGUGAGAGGGUUUGAGGUAGCCUGUGGAUAGCUGCUUUUUAAUUUACUUAUUAUGCAUUUAUCUUAAGCAUUAAUGGGAGAUUUUUUCCUCCUGGUGCAUCUUGAAAGGGUAUCUAAAUAUAAGAAACUAAGUUCCAGAAAACUAUUAGGUACACAUUAUUAAAAGUAAACAAUGAAGUAUCCGUAAAUGAAGUUUGGGGAAAGAUAGAGGGAACUGUUCCCCCUCACUCCAUGUUUUUAUAAAUAAUAAUAACAAGUGUGACCCUUUGUCUCUUCAUAGUGUUUAAAGCUGUUCAAAUAUGCUUCACACCUACUAUGUGCUCUUAAAACACUAUUUGCCAGAGAGCAUAAAAUGUGUUGUCCAGGGUCCUGGGUUCAGUUAGGAAGAGAUUCAGGAAUAUGGUUCAGGUGUUCUGGUGGGAGAAUAGUUCUCCCUUAUCAUGCUUAGCAGGUGCUUCCCAAGAAGAUGAGCAGUGAGUGUGCUGUGUCUGUUUCUCUAGGAUGGGAGCACUAACUGCACAAGCUGGAUUGCCCUGGCUCAGCCAAGCUCCCCAGUCUUUAGAGGUGACCUUAGUUAAGUUACUGGUUCUCUCUGUGCCUUUCUUUCUUCAUCUGUAACCUGCUAUAACAAUAACUCUUCUCUGGUUGGGCUGUAGCAAGAACUGAAGAAAUUAACACACACAUCUAGAAAAGUGUCUGGAACAGAGUGUAUUGUUUUUCUAAUGUGGGAAUAUGUCUCAUCAGCUGGAAUUCUAGCCUGCCCACUUUUCUUUUCCUUUCCCUGCUAUGUGUGCAGAGAAAGACUCGAGAAGCAUAUACCCUAGACCAAAAAUGUACUGGGGCACUCGACAUUGACUUAUAGCCAUUGGAGUACUGACAAAUGCAUUUUAAUAAUUCAACUCUGAAUGAGUGGACAUUUCAUAGAUGUGGGAGAGGAGAAGAGAAUCUACUGAAAUGAGACAAAAUGUGCAUGCCACGACUAUCAACUCUGGGAUAAUGCAAAAAAGUAUAGAUUUUGAUGUGAAGCAUAAAGUAAUUCUAUUAAUACUAAUGGUGCCUGCAUUUUUCACUUCUUUCUCUGAGGGUGUGCAUUUGAAUUUAUUUGCCAUAUGGAAUAUUCUCUGAUGUGCCAUGCAUCUGGUGUUGGCUGAACUUGCCUAAACUUUGUUGUAUUAUAUACAGUGAAGUCAUUUUUAUAAAUCUGCAUAAAGUUACACAUGGCUAUAUGUAAUCUCUGAACAGUGUUCGUUCCUACCUAACAGAAAUGUUAUUUUCCUCCUUCCACUGUUUUAAGAAAUAC